CGUGCUUCGAGUACUAAAAAUUGCUUGUGACUAAUUUUUUUUUUACAAAUACUUCGACUUCGGAAAAUAAAUUCGGGUUGUUGACGAUUAAUCCUGGUCGCCACACCAGGACUGCAGAACGAGUUUAAUUGUUGGGUGGAGUUUUCCGGUUUUUGGCGGAAGUAUUUUGACGUCGUUGCCGGCCAGCCAAUUAACCCUAGUGACCACGUGGAGCCACGAGGAAGCAGGACUUCAAGAUCAUCGACCGGUGAGCGAGUCUCCCAAAUUUGUUUCGAGGGAUAACUCGAGUUGAAGCCGAAGAGUGGUGUAACCCAACAACUGCAGCAGCCGAAUCAGUAUCUUUGGACGAUUACAAAUCACAUACAACACAAUUUGGCCAAGAAGAUGGAGUGUAGACUACCCCAUCGAUGAAUUAACUUCAAUCAUUGAAGGACAGUUGCGAUUGAUGAUUAUUGAUGGUGUGAAUAUCAAUAAUAGUCGAAUAAUUAUUGAUAACGAAGAAGCUAAUCUGAUAAUAAAGGAUGAAAUUGGGACGUGGUUAUUUCAAUGAACUGCUGACGACGAGGAGCUAAUUUCAAUGGAUUAUGUGAUAUCGAUGAUAAUGAUGAUACAUUCAUAUUAACCGAUGAGGAGGGGGUGGGGUUGCUGUAUAAUUUGAGUGGUGAGUGGAGUGUGGAUGAGAAGAGUGCUAGUGAUGAUUAUAGUAAAUUAAAGAAAAGUUCAUCAUGUUUUCGUUGUUAUUAUUACUAUAAUUUUUUUAUUCAUGAUUUUUAU